rnacentral:rRNA from 1 species
GAUGAACGCUGGCGGCGUGCCUAAUACAUGCAAGUCGAGCGAACGGACGAGAAGCUUGCUUCUCUGAUGUUAGCGGCGGACGGGUGAGUAACACGUGGAUAACCUACCUAUAAGACUGGGAUAACUUCGGGAAACCGGAGCUAAUACCGGAUAAUAUUUUGAACCGCAUGGUUCAAAAGUGAAAGACGGUCUUGCUGUCACUUAUAGAUGGAUCCGCGCUGCAUUAGCUAGUUGGUAAGGUAACGGCUUACCAAGGCAACGAUGCAUAGCCGACCUGAGAGGGUGAUAGGCCACACUGGAACUGAGACACGGUCAAGACUACUACGGGAGGCAGCAGUAGGGAAUCUUCCGCAAUGGGCGAAAGCCUGACGGAGCAACGCCGCGUGAGUGAUGAAGGUCUUCGGAUCGUAAAACUCUGUUAUUAGGGAAGAACAUAUGUGUAAGUAAAUGUGCACAUCUUGACGGUACCUAAUCAGAAAGCCACGGCUAACUACGUG